GACGAACGCUGGCGGCGUGCUUAACACAUGCAAGUCGAACGCUGAAGCUUGGUGCUUGCACUGGGUGGAUGAGAGGCGAACGGGUGAGUAAUACGUGAGUAACCUGCCCUUGACUCUGGGAUAAGCCUGGGAAACUGGGUCUAAUACUGGAUACGACAUGUCACCGCAUGGUGGUGUGUGGAAAGGGUUUUACUGGUUUUGGAUGGGCUCACGGCCUAUCAGCUUGUUGGUGGGGUAAUGGCUCACCAAGGCGACGACGGGUAGCCGGCCUGAGAGGGUGACCGGCCACACUGGGACUGAGACACGGCCCAGACUCCUACGGGAGGCAGCAGUGGGGAAUAUUGCACAAUGGGCGGAAGCCUGAUGCAGCGACGCCGCGUGAGGGAUGACGGCCUUCGGGUUGUAAACCUCUUUCAGCACGGAAGAAGCGAAAGUGACGGUACGUGCAGAAGAAGCGCCGGCUAACUACGUG
rnacentral:rRNA from 1 species